CAGACAUUCAUCCUGCAUUAGGGGUUGGCAAACUAAUGCUCGUGGAUCACCGCCUGUUUUUGCACGACUUCUGAGGACCAGGUCCCAUUGCAGAUCCGAUUUCUGGGUGGAUUGAUUGCAUUUCUUCCCCUGGUCACUUCACACGUGACUCGGGAGAAAUUAACGUCAUCCCUGUCACAGCGGAAGAGAUGAAUGCAUUGACAGGGGAAAGAAAAGACUCAGCUAACAAAAGAAAUUAUUUCCUGGAGGUAUGUAGAAUGAAGAGACGCGCCAUCGAUCUACGUAAUUCUUUGUUUUGAUGUAUGAUUAUAGACGGGGCUACAAAGGAGAGCUUCCAGACAUGAUAAGCAUCUAGCCCCUUUGGUGUUGGCUCCCACAAAAGUCCAAUAAGGAAAAAAAAAGUGUGAUGGGUUUGAGCGUGAU
ensembl:lncRNA